rnacentral:rRNA from 1 species
UAAAACCAGCACCUCAAGUGGUCAGGAGAAUUAUUGGGCCUAAAGCAUCCGUAGCCUGUUCUCUAAGUUUUUGGUUAAAUCUAUGUGCUCAACGCAUAGGCCGCCGAAAAUACUGCAUAGCUAGGGAGUGGGAGAGGUAGACGGUACUCGGUAGGAAGGGGUAAAAUCCUUUGACCUAUCGAUGACCACCUGUGGCGGAGGCGGUCUACCAGAACACGUUCGACGGUGAGGGAUGAAAGCUGGGGGAGCAAACCGGAUUAGAUACCCGGGUAGUCCCAGCUGUAAACGAUGCGGACUCGAUGAUGCAUUGGCAUAUAGCCAGUGCAGUGUCGCAGGGAAGCCGUUAAGUCUGCCGCCUGGGAAGUACGUACGCAAGUAUG